UUGUGUUGGCAGUAAAUGUACAAAAAUUGGAAUGAUACAGAUAAGAUGAGCAUGGUCCCUGCACAAGGAUGACCGACGAAUUCGUGAAGCCUUCUGUAUUUUU